UCCCUGGUGGCUCAGAGGUUAAAGCAUCUGCCUGCAAUGCUGGAGACCUGGGUUCGAUCCCUGGGUCGGGAA
rnacentral:tRNA from 1 species